rnacentral:misc_RNA from 1 species
GCAAACUUGGUCAUUUAGAGGAAGUAAAAGUCGUAACAAGGUUUCCGUAGGUGAACCUGCGGAAGGAUCAUUACUGAGUUAGGGUCUUUAUGGCCCGACCUCCAACCCUGUGUUAAAUUACCCUGUUGCUUUGGCGAGCCCGUCUCUAAGGGACCGCCGGAGGUCUUUGGAUCUCUGGUCAGUGCUCGCCAAUAGCCCACCUAAACUCUGUUAAAAUGUGUCAUUCUCAGUUAUAAAUGAAAUAGUUAUAAAACUUUCAACAACGGAUCUCUUGGUUCUGGCAUCGAUGAAGAACGCAGC